ensembl:lncRNA
AUUCAAAGUACAUGUCUAAUUUCAAUUGAUUAUUCCUUGGCAACUGUGCUGCGAUGCUCAUGUGGGGUGCUGCUGAUGAGAACUGUAACAUAUGCUUCAUAGAAAAAGCAGGUUGUGUUCCGCCACAUAACCGGAGAGAAGCAAGUCUGUAGAUUCAAGAUUUUACAGUCACAGUGCCACAGAUGUGCACCCAGUAUUACUUCCCUUCUGCCAGAUGUGCCUGCCUGGGAAGUAGAAGAGACAUUAACAUUCAACACACUGUCCUCUGAGGGACAAAAAGGACAUUUAAGGUUGGGAUGGAAAAGCCCUAUGAUCAGUACAUUCCCUAGUUCUGUCCUGUAAAAUGGUUCUUCCAAAUGUCUUCAGACAUCCAUACUUCUUCCAUGCUUUCUCACACAUGAAACACUGUCUGCAAUGGUCAAGUCACUACUUACUGUUUUCCCAAAUACAUUUUGAAAAUACUCUUCUAUAUUAUUUUUGAAGAAAAAAUUACAACGCACAAUAAAGCAUGUAGUUUUUCCAUUGGUUUUUGGCUUUUAAUGAGUCAAAAUAUUAUAUAUUAUAUAAAGUAAAUAUUAUAUUAUAAAUAUAAUAUAAAUAUAUAAAUA